CUACGGGGCGCUCCAGUGAGGAAUAUUGCACAAUGGGGGGAACCCUGAUGCAGCAACGCCGCGUGGAGGAUGACGCAUUUCGGUGUGUAAACUCCUUUUAUAUGUCAAGGAAAUGACGGUAGCAUAUGAAUAAGCACCGGCUAACUCCGUGCUAGCAGCCGCGGUAAUACGGAGGGUGCAAGCGUUACUCGGAAUCACUGGGCGUAAAGGACGCGUAGGCGGGUUGGAAAGUCAGGUGUGAAAUCCUACAGCUUAACUGUAGAACUGCACUUGAAACUUCUAAUCUAGAGUAUGGGAGGGGGAGAUGGAAUUAGUGGUGUAGGGGUAAAAUCCGUAGAUAUCACUAGGAAUACCUAAAGCGAAGGCGAUCUCCUGGAACAUUACUGACGCUAAGGCGUGAAAGCGUGGGGAGCAAACAGGAUUAGAUACCCGGGUAGUC
rnacentral:rRNA from 1 species